rnacentral:rRNA from 1 species
AGUGAACGCUGGCGGUAGGCCUAACACAUGCAAGUCGAACGGCAGCACAGGAGAGCUUGCUCUCUGGGUGGCGAGUGGCGGACGGGUGAGGAAUACAUCGGAAUCUGCCCAGUCGUGGGGGAUAACGUAGGGAAACUUACGCUAAUACCGCAUACGACCUUCGGGUGAAAGAGGGGGAUCGCAAGACCUCUCGCGAUUGGAUGAGCCGAUGUCGGAUUAGCUAGUUGGCGGGGUAAUGGCCCACCAAGGUGACGAUCCGUAGCUGGUCUGAGAGGAUGAUCAGCCACACUGGAACUGAGACACGGUCCAGACUCCUACGGGAGGCAGCAGUGGGGAAUAUUGGACAAUGGGCGCAAGCCUGAUCCAGCCAUACCGCGUGGGUGAAGAAGGCCUUCGGGUUGUAAAGCCCUUUUGUUGGGAAAGAAAUCUUUCAGGCUAAUACCCUGGGAGGAUGACGGUACCCAAAGAAUAAGCACCGGCUAACUUCGUG